AUAUAAUCCAAGAAGAUCCUUAUUUAUGUGAAGUCGAAAUUAGUAAAAAAAAAAAUUCUUUUUUGGCCUCAACUAGCCUACCAAAAAUUGUCCUAUUCUGGAAAAAAUGUCUAGAUUACGACAAUUCUUUUGUUACAUUUUUGGUAAAAGGUAGUAGUUUAUAUUAUAGAUGCCAUUUGAGGCCUCUUCUUAUUAAAAAGUUUUUUGAACAUUGAUUAUGUUCCCUUGAAUUAGAUGAGAGAGAGAGUUGUGUAUGUUUAGGGCAGUCUAAUGUUAUAUGUCCCUUGGAUUAGAUGAAUGAGAGUUAGGGCAGUCUAAUGUUUUUAUGUCCCUUGAAUUAGAUUGAAUAAGAGGGCAACCUAAACGUAUUAUUGUGUUAAAAUGUUGUAGUGUGAUGUGUUAACACUCUUGUAUGUUUUAUUAAAUCAUGUGAA
rnacentral:lncRNA from 1 species